rnacentral:misc_RNA from 1 species
GAUGAAGAACGCAGCGAAAUGCGAUAAGUAAUGUGAAUUGCAGAAUUCAGUGAAUCAUCGAAUCUUUGAACGCACAUUGCGCCCGCCAGUAUUCUGGCGGGCAUGCCUGUCCGAGCGUCAUUUCAACCCUCGAACCCCUCCGGGGGGUCGGCGUUGGGGAUCGGCCCUUUACGGGGCCGGCCCCGAAAUACAGUGGCGGUCUCGCCGCAGCCUCUCCUGCGCAGUAGUUUGCACACUCGCAUCGGGAGCGCGGCGCGUCCACAGCCGUUAAACACCCCAAACUUCUGAAAUGUUGACCUCGGAUCAGGUAGGAAUACCCGCUGAACUUAAGCAUAUUAAUAAGCGGAGGA